rnacentral:rRNA from 1 species
AAAUAGAUACCCAGGUAGUCCACGCCGUAAACGAUGAGUGCUAAGUGUUAGAGGGUUUCCGCCCUUUAGUGCUGCAGCUAACGCAUUAAGCACUCCGCCUGGGGAGUACGGCCGCAAGGCUGAAACUCAAAGGAAUUGACGGGGGCCCGCACAAGCGGUGGAGCAUGUGGUUUAAUUCGAAGCAACGCGAAGAACCUUACCAGGUCUUGACAUCCUCUGCCAACCCUAGAGAUAGGGCGUUCCCCUUCGGGGGACAGAGUGACAGGUGGUGCAUGGUUGUCGUCAGCUCGUGUCGUGAGAUGUUGGGUUAAGUCCCGCAACGAGCGCAACCCUUGAUCUUAGUUGCCAGCAUUUAGUUGGGCACUCUAAGGUGACUGCCGGUGACAAACCGGAGGAAGGUGGGGAUGACGUCAAAUCAUCAUGCCCCUUAUGACCUGGGCUACACACGUGCUACAAUGGAUGGUACAAAGAGCUGCGAACCCGCGAGGGUAAGCGAAUCUCAUAAAGCCAUUCUCAGUUCGGA